GGAAUCAGAUUCUGAUCUGGACCUGAUGUAUUAUCCGAUAGUAAAUAAAAAAAUUUGAAGCUGAAAAAUUAAUUUUAAUAGAAUUUAUAAAUGAAGGAUCUAUGUAUAUUUUCAUCAUUGUGAAAAUCUUUUAAUCUCUUUCUUUGCUUAUUUUUUUAUUUUACUCGUUUUUUUUAAUUCUAGCUGUUUACUGUUUGAAUUUUUCUUUUGAACAAAUUUUAUUAGACUGAGUGCAACUAAUUAGGACACGAGUUUUUUAUAGUGAUAGAUUUAUGAUUUGUCAAUAGACUGUUUAAUAAAAUUUAUAAAAAAUAUGUGUAUACAGAUACCCGUAUUCGAUCUAGAUCCGACCCGUACCUGAUCCAUAUCCGGUGUUAAGCGGGUAGUAUAAGAUAGUCACUAUUCAGACCCGCUCAAAUAGACCAGGUAGAUUUAUUAUUAACUUUAAUAUUCAGACUUGAACCCGAUCCAUAGUUAAAUAGGUAAGGUAUUUUUUUAUAUCUAUUUUUUUUAGGGUACAAAUAUAGUAUAUCAACUAUCCAGAUUCUAUCCGGUCCACAGACAUCUUUAUUUCUCGUACUUCCAUUUAGAGAUGUCAACAGGUCAGAUUCGGAGCGGAUUUUCAAAACCCCGAACCCGAACCCGACUCCAAACCCGAGACCCGAACCCAAACCCGAAUCCGAACCCGAAAAUUUGAAUCCAAAAUAAUUAUUUUUUUUUUCAAUAUUUCAAAAUAUAUUACAUUAAAUCUAAAUUUUUAAAAUACAAAUUCAUAUAUAAUAU
rnacentral:lncRNA from 1 species